CCUGGCGGCCAUAGAGUCCUGGACCCACCUGAUCCCAUCCCGAACUCAGAAGUGAAACAGGACCUCGCCGAUGAUAGUGUGGGGCCUCCCCAUGCGAAAGUAGGUCACUGCCAGGA
rfam:Marichromatium purpuratum 984, complete genome.